CCGUCACUUGAUGCACCGAGUCGCUCUCGGUGGCUCACUUCAUCUGGCGGACAACCAAAUACCAACACGGCGAACCUAUGAGCAAGGUCGCCGCAAUCCGAGACGGAGCGAUUCGUUUGGAGUGCGGUUUUAUUUCCUAUGCCCAUUUUACAGCCGAACC
rnacentral:ncRNA from 1 species